AUGGAGGCCGCCCGCUCUCCUCCUCAGGACUGCCCGAGAUUGACCCCAACCCCGGCGAGAUGCUUCCUCGAGCGGACGGGGGAUGAGCAGCGCGACCGCACAACCCCGCAACUUGGCCCUCGGGCCCCUGGCGGCGGGCAGGUGCGCGACGGGGCACCAGAGGUGGUAGCUGGACAUGCCGGCUCCCAUCCAGCGGGUCAUCGACCCACCUAG
rnacentral:rRNA from 1 species